rnacentral:rRNA from 1 species
GAUGAACGCUGGCGGCGUGCCUAAUACAUGCAAGUCGAGCGAACAGACGAGGAGCUUUCUCCUCUAACGUUAGCGGCGGGCGGGUGAGUAACACGUGGAUAACCUACCUAUAAGACUGGGAUAACUUCGGGAAACCGGAGCUACUACCAGCUAAUAUAUUGAACGGCAUGGUUCAAUAGUGAAAGACGGUUUUGCUGUCACUUAUAGAUGGAUCCGCGCCGCAUUAGCUAGUUGGUAAGGUAACGGCUUACCAAGGCGACGAUGCGUAGCCGACCUGAGAGGGUGAUCGGCCACACUGGAACUGAGACACGGUCCAGACUCCUACGGGAGGCAGCAGUAGGGAAUCUUCCGCAAUGGGCGAAAGCCUGACGGAGCAACGCCGCGUGAGUGAUGAAGGUCUUCGGAUCGUAAAACUCUGUUAUUAGGGAAGAACAAAUGUGUAAGUAACUAUGCACGUCUUGACGGUACCUAAUCAGAAAGCCACGGCUAACUACGUG